CUUUAUAUUUACAUUUAAUAAUAAAAAUAUUUGUUAAUUUUGAAAAAUGGAACUGUACAGGAUUUAAAAACUAAUUUUAAGCUUUAUUAUAUUUUACUUUUUGUAUAACGGUUUAACAAUUUAUAUUCUAAUAGAUUAUACCCGAAGUUUAAGGAGUUGAUGUAAAUUUGCUUAGGGCAUAAUAGUUAAUGUUGAAAUAUUAUUAUAAAAAUUUAUACCAGUGGCUACAUACCAACCGCAUUAGGUGAUAGCUGGUUAUUUACUAAAUUAUAUUUGUAAAUAAAAGGUUUAGCCUUAUUUAUAUUUAAGGGGUAAGCUCUUAUUUUAUACUUAGAUUGUCAGUUAGGCACAUAUCUCUGUAAGCUUUAAAGCAGUUAUCAAUAGUUAGUGCGUGAAAGCUAACUUGUGGUUUUAAAAUUUAUUUAUUUUUUCUAGUACUAAUAGUAAAUAAAUGGGGUGUUUUUUUUUCCUCAUAUUAUUAUGUUAAAAUUAGUACUUGAAACCUAUUUUGUUUAGAAAAUAUUUAUUUAAACAUUAUACCAUAUUUACAUCAAUAAGAUUAAAAAAAGUAACUCGGCAAAUAUUAAUUUCGACUGUUUACCAAAAACAUUGCCUUAUGAAAAUAAGAAUAUAAGGUUUAUCCUGCCCGGUGACUUACGAGUUUAACGGCCGCAGUAAACUUGACUGUGCUAAGGUAGCGAGAUUCCUUGCCCUUUAAUUGGGGGCCAGAUGAAUGGAUUAACGAGAAUUAUGCUGUCUCUUUUUAAAAAAUGGAAAUUGUAUUUUAAGUGAAUAUACUUAAAUUUAUGUGCAAGACAAAAAGACCCCAUAGAGCUUUGUUUUAUUUAUUGUAACAAUGGUGUUAAGUUAUAAAUAUUUAUUUAUUAAUAAUAAAGACUUAACUGGGAAGGUUGAGGAAAAUUUAAUCUUCUUUUAUAUUAUAAGAAAUACAAAUCAUAUAUUGAACUUAAAAUUAGUUGGAGGAUAAGCUACCUUGGGGGUAACAGACUAAUUUUUCUUGAGAGUUCAUAUUGACAGAAAAGUUUGGCACAUCGAUGUUGGCUUAAGAGAUCCUAGAGGUCAGUAGCAGCUUUUUAGGGCAGGUUUGUUCAACCUUUAAACUCUUUCAUGAGCUGAGUUCAGACCGGCGUGAGUUAGGUCAGAUUCUAUCUGCAUAUUUAUUAUAUAAAAUUUAUUUGUACGAAAGGACUUUGAAUUUUUGAUUACCAAUGAGUUAUGAAAUUAUCUAAUUUAUUUUAAGAUUAUAUUGUAAGGCAUAUAUUAUUAGGAUAGUAUAAUAUACAAAAAAGAAAAAAGUACCGA
rnacentral:rRNA from 1 species